UUGGAGGGCAAGUCUGGUGCCAGCAGCCGCGGUAAUUCCAGCUCCAAUAGCGUAUAUUAAAGUUGUUGCAGUUAAAAAGCUCGUAGUUGAAUUUCGGGAUCAAUACGUCGGUCGUGCUUUUUUGGUACGCACUGGCGUCAUUGGUUUCUCCUUUCUGACGAACCAUGAUGUCAUUAAUUUGGUGUUAUGGGGAGUUAGGACUGUUACUUUGAAAAAAUUAGAGUGUUUAAAGCAGGCAUUAGCUUGAAUACAUUAGCAUGGAAUAAUGAAAUAGGACGUUCGAUCCUAUUUUGUUGGUUUCUAGGAUCAACGUAAUGAUUAAUAGGGAUAGUUGGGGGCAUUAGUAUUCAAUUGUCAGAGGUGAAAUUCUUGGAUUUAUUGAAGACUAACUACUGCGAAAGCAUUUGCCAAGGAUGUUUUCAUUAAUCAAGAACGAAAGUUAGGGGAUCGAAGACGAUCAGAUACCGUCGUAGUCUUAACCAUAAACUAUGCCGACUAGGGAUCGGAUGAUGUUAAUUUUUAAUGACUCAUUCGGCGCCUUACGGAAAC
rnacentral:rRNA from 1 species